UGGAAGUAAAAAGUCGUAACAAGGUUUCCGUAGGUGAACCUGCGGAAGGAUCAUUACCGAGUGAGGGCUGCCUCCGGGCGCCCAACCUCCCACCCGUGAAUACCUAACACUGUUGCUUCGGCGGGGAGCCCUCUCGGGGGCGAGCCGCCGGAGACCACUGAACUUCAUGCCUGUAGUGAUGAGUCUGAGCCUAAAUGAAAAUUUAGUCAAAACUUUCAACAAUGGAUCUCUUGGUUCCGGCAUCGAUGAAGAACGCAGCGAACUGCGAUAAGUAAUGUGAAUUGCAGAAUUCAGUGAAUCAUCGAGUCUUUGAACGCACAUUGCGCCCCCUGGCAUUCCGGGGGGCAUGCCUGUCCGAGCGUCAUUGCUGCCCUUCAAGCCCGGCUUGUGUGUUGGGUCGUCGUCCCCCCCGGGGGACGGGCCCGAAAGGCAGCGGCGGCACCGUGUCCGGUCCUCGAGCGUAUGGGGCUUUGUCACCCGCUCGAUUAGGGCCGGCCGGGCGCCAGCCGGCGUCUCCAACCUUUAUUUUUCUCAGGUUGACCUCGGAUCAGGUAGGGAUACCCGCUGAACUUAAGCAUAUCAAUAAGCCGGAGGA
rnacentral:misc_RNA from 1 species